UACGGGGGGGGCAAGCGUUGUUCGGAAUUACUGGGCGUAAAGGGCUCGUAGGCGGCCAACUAAGUCAGACGUGAAAUCCCUCGGCUUAACCGGGGAACUGCAUCUGAUACUGGAUGGCUUGGAUUCGGGAGAGGAAUGCGGAAUUCCAGGUGUAGCGGUGAAAUGCGUAGAUAUCUGGAGGAACACCGGUGGCGAAGGCGGCAUUCUGGACCGACAUUGACGCUGAGGAGCGAAAGCCAGGGGAGCAAACGGG
rnacentral:rRNA from 1 species